GACGGAGGGUGCAAGCGUUUGUUCGGAAUUACUGGGCGUAAAGAGCGCGCAGGCGGUCGUUUCAAGUCGAGUGUGAAAGCCCCCCGGCUCAACUGGGGAGGGUCACUCGAUACUGAUCGACUCGAAGGCAGGAGAGGGAAGUGGAAUUCCCGGUGUAGUGGUGAAAUGCGUAGAUAUCGGGAGGAACACCAGUGGCGAAGGCGACUUCCUGGCCUGUUCUUGACGCUGAGGCGCGAAAGCUAGGGGAGCAAACGGG
rnacentral:rRNA from 1 species